rnacentral:lncRNA from 1 species
AUGGAGAAACUCAGUGUUGCCUUGCCCCGAGCAGAGAUGGACCAGAAGAGAAUUGAUCCUCAGAGCUGUGUCACCACUCAGAUGAGUAAACCAGACUGCCGAAGACCUGGUGAUUUGCUUGAGGGAGCAUGGCUGCCAAAGCCCUACAGUCACCUCUGCUGGAGUCCUGCCUUCUUCCCCAGGAUUAAACAUGAGGCUGAUCAUGAAGGCAGAAGACUGGAGAAUUUUCCAUAUGUUCCAUGCGUGGGUGGGCGGGCAGGGA